GCUAAUGUUGCCAUGUUCUCGGCGAAACUCAUAGAGCGUGGUUUGGGGCUUUUUGUUUUGUUUUUCUUUUUUAAAGAGUCCCGGCUUGGUGUAUAUCCAUACCUAUAUACCCGUGUUUGUGUAGAUAUGGAAACGGAACUUUGGUUGGUUUGUUGUUUCGGGGCCCUUCUGAGUUCCCACGGGGGUGACACGGAUGGAGGGGGCAAGGUGCUCGGGGGGCUGUUGUAUCCCAGACCUGUGUGAUAACCGUGUGACUGGGAGUCGAGAAAGUUAAGUGUUUUAUGACUUCUCUAAACAGAGGGCAAGUCUUAAAAGUCCGCUCGAUUUAUAGUGAACACAAACCAGCUGCCGCACAGAAACUGCACACAGAACCCGCUCCCCACGCUCAAAAUCCGCCAGAAAAGAGACACAGAGAGAGGGGGGAGAGGGGGAAAACACACACACGCAACAGAAAGGAUCAUAAUAAUACCUAAAAAGAGCGCAUCCACCCCAAAAAAUUCCAGCGAACGCAACGCCUCACCCACCCUAAAAGGGCGCUUUACCCACUGCAGUCCCCCCAUAUAUAUAUAUAUAUACACGUCCCAUAUAAUAUACAUUUCCCCCCCCCCAUCCCCCAUUGAUAUUUUCCAUCAGUGUGGGGAUUUCUCGAAAGCGUUCCGUCCGAACAGAUCACUACAAAAAUAGCAAUAAUAACAAUAAUAAUAGUAUUUAUCCCAGACCCCCCCCUCCCCCCCAAACCCAUCCUCCCCCCACGAGAACACGCACAGGGAAUAUGUGGGGCGCUUUCUGGUUAAAUUGGUCUGCAAACAAUUAUGUAAACUCAUCAGCAGAAGCAAGAACAGAUGUUUUAUUAAAAGUGCUACACAGCAGUGGAAAUAUGUACACGACUUCGAGUAGCUCUCGAAUAGGAGUUGCUCUUUGUUCCCCGAAAAGAAAAGCGCCCAUAGAAAUCCCAAAUAACAUUCGCCACUCAUAUGCCAUAUUCCCCCCCCACACACACACACUCCAUCCCAGCACUUUUUGGGCCCCCCCCUUUCUCCCCACUCUGAUGUGCACAGAGAGAGGGAAGGGAGAAAAGAAGAGGAGAGGGGGGGUGGGGAGGAAAAUAAACGUGUCGGGAGAUUCCCCCCCCCCCCCAAGCUAUAAUUAGCGAAUUGAUGAACUGAUUUAGGAAAGGGAAAGGGGGGGGCGGGGGGAGG
rnacentral:lncRNA from 1 species